UGCUGUAUCCUGUGUGCAAGCUCUCAGCGCAACCUGUGUUUGGAUUCUCCUGUUCUCUGUGGCUACCUGUGUUCUCCAGUGGCAGCUUUUUCUGUUCCUCGUGUCCUCAGAACUUUCUUUAGUCAGCCAGUCGCCUGCCACGCUGUCUGCCUAUUGUUCCUGUGUUUUCAUCAGUGCCUUAUUAAAGAGCCUUCUGUUGGAACUUACCCGUGUGUGUUCUCUGCAUUGGGGUCCUAUACUAGAGUUCAUAACAAUCAGGACCUCCUCCCCAGACGAUCCCAAGGAGGGACCCCCAGCCGCCCCCUGUGGAAGCGCACUCAACAGCUCGUGGCCAGAUCACGAUGCAGCAGGAAACCUGGACAGCGCUUCUUGUUCCUGUCCACAGCCGCUCCAUCAUCCCUCAGGUGGUCCUCCAUAAGGUCCCGGGGGCAGCAGCCUCCUGCAGCGCUUCACCUCUCACCUCUCUCUGCCUCCUCCUCUGGCUCUUCUCCCUUUUCUCUCUCCUUACCAGGCUGCUCAUUCUGGCCUGUUGAGGCAUCAGGACCUCCUCCCCAGACGAUCCCAAGGAGGGACCCUCAGCUGCCCCCUGAGCCUGCAGAAGCACCCCCAGCAGAUGCCUCUGCCUCCCUCUCUGGCUCUUCUCUCUCUUCUCUCCCCUCGCCUUUUCUCCUCCCUCUCCUCUCUCCUCCUCCUCUUCUAGCUCCUCGUCUCCGGACCAACCUGAGCCACCCAUAAGCUGUAUUUCAUUCUCUCUGUGCUUUGAUUUUUUGCGCUCCUGGUCUAGGUGCUCGUCUCCAGACAACGAGUCGCCCCCUGAGCCUUCCAAGGUGCGCCCCCCUGGACCACCUGAGCCACCCAGUCAGCGUUUGGAAGUGCGCCCCCCUGGACCACCUGAGCCAACCAGUCCACCUGGGUUGUUUGGGAACCAGCCUGAACCGCAGUGAGUGAAGGAUGCCCGGUCCUUCAUGGAGAGGAGGGAGCCAUAUGACUCCAUGGGGUGCAAAAGGACCAUUAACGCUGAAGGUGGGUCUCCAGGUAAGCCAGAGUCGUUACGUCGUUAUCAUUAUACAUUUUAAUUUCCUUACAUUUUUUGUGAAUGAUUUUGUAUUGAACUUCUGUGAUUUGCUUUGAAUUAGUUUGAAUUGAAUUGAUUGAGGGGCCAUGCAGCGUGAGAAUGGUGUUCUUGUUGCUGCACCAUGACUCAGGCAGGGUGUCUGCACAGAGCGAGUGUGAUCUGGGAGGGAUAGCGUGAACCUCCAACGUGUUUCGACCUCCCAGUGAAGCUGCUCUGUGACAGAGAAAGAAAAGGAUGGCGACACCAUGUCAAGGAGGUUCACAUGUCUGUUGACACCCACCCUAGACCGACAGGAGUCUGCAGUGACGAGGGCCUCAUGGCAGGGGUCAGCUGUAGAAAGUUAGCAUGUAGGUAGCAUGUGUAGUUAUGUUAGAGAAGAAAUUAUUACAAUAGGGAAGAAAUCAUUUAGGAAGAGAAGGGAGAAGAGAAGAGGAAGGAAAAGGUAAGAUGUACGACAGGGAGGAGAGGAGGAGGAGUCCUUCAGAAGAAGAAGGUAAGUCUUUCAUGGUAUUAUCAGAUUUCAUGCAAUUAUGAAUUAUAUCACUGUUUAUCUGAUUUCUAAAGUUUUUAGUUCAAUCUGCUUGUCUUCUGUUUUUCUUUUAGAGAGAUGACGAGAGAGGAGAGGAGGUGGAGGGCAACAUGACAUGAAAACCCUCUCAUAUAAAAGAGAGAUGAUGACAGAGGAGAGGAGAGGAGAGGAGAGGAGGUGGGAGGGCAACAUGUCGUGUAAAACCUCAUGUAAAAGAGAGAGGAGAGGAGGUGGAGGACAAUAUGAAAAGUGAACCACCACCAUCAAAAAGAAAAACAUCUGUUUAUGUCAUACUGCCUACAUGAUACACAGGAAGAAUCCAUCUGUUCACAUUUAUUCACUGAAAAUGUAACUAUUAUCCCCCCCCAUCUGCAUUUUUUUAGAAAGAGGAGAGGAGACAUGAUUGACGAAGAGAGUGAGGAGACGAGAAAAGGAAAGAAAUAAGGAAAAUCGGAGUAGAGGAGAGGAGGUGGAGGGCAUUAUAAAGUGUA